rnacentral:rRNA from 1 species
GACGGGGGGGGCAAGUGUUCUUCGGAAUGACUGGGCGUAAAGGGUGCGCAGGCGGCUAAUUGUGUCAGGUGUGAAAUCCCGGAGCUCAACUCCGGAACUGCGCCUGAAACUGAUUGGCUAGAGUCUCGGAGAGGUAAGCGGAAUUCCAGGUGUAGCGGUGAAAUGCGUAGAUAUCUGGAGGAACACCAAAGGCGAAGGCAGCUUACUGGACGAGUACUGACGCUCAGGCACGAAAGCGUGGGGAGCAAAAAGG